AGUGAACGCUGGCGGUAGGCCUAACACAUGCAAGUCGAACGGCAGCACAGUAAGAGCUUGCUCUUACGGGUGGCGAGUGGCGGACGGGUGAGGAAUACAUCGGAAUCUACUUUUUCGUGGGGGAUAACGUAGGGAAACUUACGCUAAUACCGCAUACGACCUACGGGUGAAAGCAGGGGAUCUUCGGACCUUGCGCGAUUGAAUGAGCCGAUGUCGGAUUAGCUAGUUGGCGGGGUAAAGGCCCACCAAGGCGACGAUCCGUAGCUGGUCUGAGAGGAUGAACAGCCAAACUGGAAAUGAGAAACGGGCCAGACUCCCACGGGAGGCAGCAGGGGGGAAUAUUGGAAAAUGGGCGAAAGCCUGAUCCAGCCAUACCGGGGGGGUGAAGAAGGCCUUCGGGUUGUAAAGCCCUUUUUUUGGGAAAGAAAAGCAGCAGGUUAAUACCCCGCUGUUCUGACGGUACCAAAAGAAUAAGCACCGGCUAACUUCGU
rnacentral:rRNA from 1 species